UACGUAGGGGGGCGAGCGUUGUCCGGAUUUAUUGGGCGUAAAGAGCGUGUAGGCGGCCAGGUAGGUCCGUUGUGAAAACUCGAGGCUCAACCUCGAGACGUCGAUGGAAACCAUCUGGCUAGAGUCCGGAAGAGGAGAGUGGAAUUCCUGGUGUAGCGGUGAAAUGCGCAGAUAUCGGGAGGAACACCAGUGGCGAAGGCGGCUUCCUGGACCGGUUCUGACACUGAGGAGCGAAAGCGUGGGGAGGCGAUCCGG
rnacentral:rRNA from 1 species